rnacentral:lncRNA from 1 species
CAAAUUGCCUUGUAUACUAUCAAUAUUGGAUUUUGAAGCUUUGUUUAAUAAUCUAAGCACAAGGUUUACAUUCCCAUGUGUAGAUGAAGGGUAGCAGGAGGCCUGUCAGAACAAACAUACCUGUAUGUUUUCAGGGCCACUGGCUGAGACAGAGAAAGCCAAUAUUUCUUUGUCAAAUGAAAACCUGAAUUCCAGAGAACAGCAUCUGUUGCAUCAACAUGAGAAACAUUUGGAGGAAACAAACUGUGGUGCUGAGCAAAACACUCCUGAUUCUCCAGAAUGUAAAGACUUCAUUAUUAAGAUCGAGCUGGAAAAAGCAGAAAAUGGAAGCCUAGGAUUUGCACUGGUAGGUGGAAGAAAUGGCAGGGCCAUCCUAAUAAAAGCCAUCAGCCCAGACAGCAUUGCAGACCUAGAUGGGAGGCUUCAAGUUGGUGACAUUCUACUUAAGGUAAUGCUUGUUCUUCAUUGCUUUGGCCUCCAUUUUCUCUAUAUAGUCUAUAACGAGCCUCUGUUCAGUAUAAAGAUUGUGCAUAUUGGAAAUCUGGUGCUGCUUGGCAU